rnacentral:sRNA from 1 species
CCUUCUUCAAGGCCUCAUCAUGUCACUCCCAUUUCCUACAGAUCAAAGAUCCCCAAGGCUCUGAUUCCUUUAAUCUCUUGCUCCCCCCUCCCCAGCCCACCAAGCUUUAACUCUCCUGUGACACCCCCCCACGCCCCUCCCCCCUCCUCAGAAAUGUGAGGCAGCUUUCGCCACGAAGGAUCGGCUGCGGGCGCACACAGUACGACACGAGGAGAAAGUGCCAUGUCACGUGUGUGGCAAGAUGCUGAGCUCGGCUUAUAUUUCGGACCACAUGAAGGUGCACAGCCAGGGUCCUCACCAUGUCUGUGAGCUCUGCAACAAAGGUACUGGUGAGGUUUGUCCAAUGGCGGCGGCGGCGGCGGCAGCGGCGGCGGCAGCAGCAGUAGCAGCCCCUCCCACAGCUGUGGGCUCCCUCUCGGGGGCGGAGGGGGUGCCUGUGAGCUCUCAGCCACUUCCCUCCCAACCCUGGUGAGCUCCAAGUUGGUUGCGGGGGAGAGGGGAGAAUGGAGUAGAGUCCCUUGGUACAAGCUCCUCUCCCCCCUCUUUUCCCACCAACUCCUAUUUCCCCACCAACCAAGGAGCCUCCAGAAGGAAAGAAGGAAGAAAUGUUUUCUUAGGGGAAUUCGCUAGGUUUUAACGAUUUGUUUCUCCUGCUCCUCUCUUCUAUCAGACCUGACCCCAAACAAACCUGUCCCCUCGGUUGUGUUGAAGUCCCCUGGACAGUGGGCAGGGGUGGCAGAGGACACGAGCAGCCACUGCCCGUACCCCCUCUCCUCUCUGUAAGCCCAUGCCCUGUCUUCCCAGGGAUUUGUGAGCCUCUUCCCUCGACGGUCCUCUUCUCUCCUUCCAGUCCUCUCCCCCUGCUGUCUGCAGCCCCUCCCCGGGGAGUUGGUGCUUUCUUUUCCUUUUUUUUUUUUUUCCAGGGGGAGGGAGGAGAGGAAGGAGGGGGAUCAGAGCUGUCCCAAAGAGGGAAAGCGGUGAGGUUUGAGGAGAGGCAGAAGCAGGGCCAGCAAAGGUUUUACCUUCAUAAGGUGGUAUGGGGGUUUGGGGUCAGGCCCUGAACAUCGUCCUACUUGAGAAUCUGUCAGGGGAAAAAGUCAAGGGGAGCAGGAGGAAGAGCCAGGAGGGCCAGAGGCAGAGAAGAGAUGGAGUCUUAGGGGCCAGGGUGAGCGAGGGGUCCAGGGCCUAGAGGUGCUUCCUGGGGGCGGGGGAAUGCAGCCAGUGUCCCCCUCCCCUCUUCCACCCCAGCUCCAGCCCUGGUCUUGUCUUUUCAUCCCUCUUCCCCACGACAGAAGAAGUUGUGGCCCUGG